UACGUAGGGGGCUAGCGUUGUCCGGAAUCAUUGGGCGUAAAGCGCGUGUAGGCGGUUCGGUAAGUCCGCUGUGAAAGUCGGGGGCUCAACCCUCGGAAGCCGGUGGAUACUGUCGGGCUAGAGUACGGAAGAGGCGAGUGGAAUUCCUGGUGUAGCGGUGAAAUGCGCAGAUAUCAGGAGGAACACCAAUUGCGAAGGCAGCUCGCUGGGACGUUACUGACGCUGAGACGCGAAGCGUGGGAGCAAACAGG
rnacentral:rRNA from 1 species